rnacentral:tRNA from 1 species
ACUUGAAUAGCUUAUAUUAGAGCGCAACACUGAAGAUGUUGAUGAGGUAUAUUUGUUGCCUUUAAGUA